rnacentral:rRNA from 1 species
AGUGAACGCUGGCGGUAGGCCUAACACAUGCAAGUCGAACGGCAGCACAGUAAGAGCUUGCUCUUACGGGUGGCGAGUGGCGGACGGGUGAGGAAUACAUCGGAAUCUACUUUUUCGUGGGGGAUAACGUAGGGAAACUUACGCUAAUACCGCAUACGACCUACGGGUGAAAGCAGGGGAUCUUCGGACCUUGCGCGAUUGAAUGAGCCGAUGUCGGAUUAGCUAGUUGGCGGGGUAAAGGCCCACCAAGACGACGAUCCGUAGCUGGUCUGAGAGGAUGAUCAGCCACACUGGAACUGAGACACGGUCCAGGCUCCUACGGGAGGCAGCAGUGGGGAAUAUUGGACAAUGGGCGCAAGCCUGAUCCAGCCAUACCGCGUGGGUGAAGAAGGCCUUCGGGUUGUAAAGCCCUUUUGUUGGGAAAGAAAAGCAGCAGGUUAAGACCCCGCUGUUCUGACGGUACCCAAAGAAUAAGCACCGGCUAACUUCGU